AUUUGCAUUAUACAAAUGAAUAUAAAUAAAACACAGUAACCUGUGAACACUUUUAAACAUGCUAAUGAAUAUAUAAGCUAAUUAGGCUAAUGGCUAAUUAGGGACUUACUGUGUGUCAUAUUUUCCAUAGUCUGAUACUGUACUGUUGUCUAGGCAUUUUUUAAAUAACUAAGAAUAACCCUACAACAAUCCAGAAUAUAUUUUAUACUUUAGAUUCUUCAAAGUAGCAGCUUUUGCUUUGAUGCCAGCUUUGCACUUCUUGGCAUUUUCCCAGAACCAGCUCAGUUGGGCUUAUGACGGGUGAUUAUGGAGGACAAUCCCUUUACUGUUUAUUACACAAUUCCAUAUUCCAUUGAUGUUUUCAGUAUUAAUAUACAAUGAUUUCAAUGAAUCAGAAGGGGUAUCCAAACUUUUGACUGGAACAGUACAUUCUUAAAAUGCAUUUUCUAUAUAUAUUUUUUAUAUAUAUUUUCAUAAGAGUGAACAGUGAAUGUGUUUUUAUACAUUGUAGUUGUCCAAAUAUUUGUGGACACCGCACUUCUUCUAAUGAAUGCUAAAUUCAGCUGAAUUAUAGUAUAAAGCCUUUUCUGGACAGUAGAGACAGUUACACCAACAAAAGUAAACAAAAGCAGGAUAAACCUAAGGUUAAUUUAAACACAACCUUUUUAAAUAAAUUUUCAGCUCCUAAGAUCACAAGUUCCUAUCGCCCAUAUAAAUAGAUUUAGCCACACGGUGCAAAACCAUUACUAUAAUACAAUAACUGUACCAUUAUAUAUCUUAUUAAACACCAAUAAUGAGGUACAGUGCAAAGCCAAAGGUGCAUCUAAAAAGCAUUUUUUAUAUUGUUUAGUCUAUAAAAUGCCCCAUGUUCUUUGCAUUUUGCAAAAAGAAUAAAAAUACACUGCUUUUAAACAGAAUGCUGAUAUCAUCAUGAUAUGGAUACUGUCUACAAUAAAAUAUCAAACAGCCUUAAGACCAAACAUAAGUCUGAUGUGCAAUUUCUUUAACCCUUUUAAACCUGAAUGAUCUCCAGUGAUGGAAAAAUGUAGGAAUACUGUUUUCUGUCUGUAAUUCAGAGAAAAGAAGACACUAAUAUUCUACUAUAAAAUCUAUACAGCAAAUAAAUCUAAUUAAGUAAAAUAUUUAAAUAUUUAAUAUUAGUUUUUCUUUUUUGUUUUGCAUUGAAAGCCAUGUGUAAAUUCCUUUGCAUUUCAUAAACCAUCCCUAAAUAGUAAAUAAACAUGAUUAAAAAGUGUUUUAUAUCACAUUAAAUUAGUAAACAUAGGCUCUAUUGAUUAAGCUUAAGUACUACAGUUUUUCCAGUGCAGUGAGCAGGGCCAAGCUACUGUUUUAUUGGUUAAAAAAUAUAUGAUGUCUAUUGUAAUGGUUACAGGGUCUGGAAGGGUUAAUAGCACAUAAGUCAAAACCUAUAACACAUUUAUAUUGGCCAUUUAUAGUGUUCCUCAAAAGCUGGGUUUUCUGUACUGUGAAUUUUACAUAUGUACUAACUUACACACCCCUAGUGCUAAUUGUGUUGUUGAUGUUUGUUGUUUACAGUGUUUGUGACAGUAACAGCGUCUAUAUUAAAGCUGUAGAAGUGUUAUGCAGAGGUUUGGGAUCAGCCAGUCCAGCAGCAGGCUCUGAAACAGCUGCUGCCUGAGGCCCUGAGGAUGCAGGAGGCUAAGAAGAGAACUGUCCAGCAGGGGGCGUGGCUCUCUCUUAUACACGCACACACACACACACACACACACACACACACUUUUUUGGGUGUGUAUUUGAUGCCAGUGCCACUCCAGAAGGUCUCCUGCUGACCGUACUGAUAGCGCCAUCAGCAAAAACUGGUAAUACCACGUACACACACACACACACACACACACACACACACAUACUGUCUUAGGACACAUUUGAGGCCAUAUGAAAAGAAGCCCCCACCGCGGGGACACCGCUUUCUGAAUGAGCUAGAGAGAAGCAGACAACACAGUUCUGCUCCAAAAUACCCCAAUAACACCACAAUCACUUGAUAUUUUUGAUUCAAGCAUAUUUUGUCCGAGGUGACAUAAUACCACACAUUUGAGGACUUGUAUUUUUUAGGACACAUUUGGGGGCCAAUCCCAUACACGUACACAAACUCUGAUAAAAGUCACUUUUGAAUACUUUUACUAAACUUUGGGGACAGAUGAAGUAAAGUUCUCAUGUGUAUUUUUCAGUUACAUUCCUGCACUAAUGCUUUUGUUAUAUUAUCAAAAUCAUCUGUUCUUUGGAGAACGUGCAGAAGGUCUAAAGGUUUUACACGUUUUUUUUAUAUUAAAGCUAGUGUCAGUAUCACCUGGGUGUCUUUGGCUUACUGGAAAAAAAAUCUGUAUGUUCACUGCAUGCUAUUUUUGGAGACAAUGAUUAUGUGAAUUAUGUAUAUUAUGUAAUUUCAAAGGUAGCCUAUAUAGCAAUAACACUAAAAUAAAUUGACCUACUAAAAUA